rnacentral:rRNA from 1 species
UACAUGGGGUGCAAACGUUGCUCGGAAUUAUUGGGCGUAAAGCGCGUGUAGGCGGUCUGGCAAGUCGGUCGUGAAAGCCCUUGGCUUAACCAAGGAACUGCGAUCGAAACUACUGGACUAGAGUAUCGGAGGGGGUGGCGGAAUUCCCGGUGUAGAGGUGAAAUUCGUAGAUAUCGGGAGGAACACCUGUGGCGAAGGCGGCCACCUGGAAGAUUACUGACGCUGAGACGCGAAAGCGUGGGGAGCAAACAGG